CAGUACUGGCCUCCUCCUUCCCUCCCCUCCUCCAUGCUCCUGCCAAACCCUGCUGAUCUAUUCCUAUAAAAGCAGCCAUGUGGACCAACUCAGGGCCAUAAUCUCAUGGCUUGAAAGAAAUCAGGCUUCAAGCAAAAAAGAAGCUGUACACUAAGGGACAUUCUUCCCUCUCCAUGGCCCUGUUCAUGCUACCGUGAAAAACGAAGAGAUGCAAUGGGAAGAGCAGUGAGUUGGGAGUCAAGAACCUGGUCCAUCCCUAUGGAUUUUGGAGAAAUCAUGACCUCUCUGAACCUCAAUUCCUCAUGUGUGAAAUGAAGAACUUAAACCAGGUGUUACUCAAGAACAAUUUCCCAGAAACUUCCUUCUCCCCUAGGAAAUCUCUCCCCACAAGGAUGCAAAAGAGGA
rnacentral:lncRNA from 1 species